UGCGUAGGUGGCCAAUUAAGUCAAAUGUGAAAUCCCCGAGCUUAACUUGGGAAUUGCAUUCGAUACUGGUUGGCUAGAGUAUGGGAGAGGAUGGUAGAAUUCCAGGUGUAGCGGUGAAAUGCGUAGAGAUCUGGAGGAAUACCGAUGGCGAAGGCAGCCAUCUGGCCUAAUACUGACACUGAGGUACGAAAGCAUGGGGAGCAAACA
rnacentral:rRNA from 1 species